ACAAGUUAAUCGGAGAGGAUCACAGCUGGCCACGGAUCUCGAUGCUGCAUUCGGGCUGACAGUUCUGGAGAAAUGGAUCUGCUGGAGAAGGACCCCUAAUCUGAAAGUGCACAGCGGAUCAUCAGGACAGAGCUGCCAUCCACCUGGACCCCCCGUGGUGCUGGAGAAGGACCCCUAACCCCAGCGGAUCAUCAGGACAGAGCUGCCAUCCACCUGGACACCCCGAGGUGCUGAAGAAAGCAAAACAGCGAUCAGGAACAUCCUCCACCCAGGCCUCUGCUUACUGCCGUCCUAGACUUGUGUCUUACUUUCAGAAUUUGAUUUUGUAUGUGUCCUUUUUUUUAAUAGAUAUCUAACGAUUAUAGCUUGAGUCUGUCUGAUUCCCCAAACAGCUGCUUCUAUAUACUUGCCGCACAUAUAAUACAAAUAAACAACUCCAUAAACACAC